rnacentral:pre_miRNA from 1 species
UACCUAAUUUGUUGUCCAUCAUGUAAAAUUUAAGUGAUGAUAGACGCCAAUUUGGGUAGA